rnacentral:lncRNA from 1 species
UCUCAUGCAGCAAAAUGUUAUUUGAGUCACAGCACCUCAGGGAAUAAUGCAUUAUCCGAAACUUUGGCGUAGAAAACUAUUUGAAUAUACAAGAGAAAAUAUGGCAUUUUUUGAGUAGUUGUGUUUGAUGUUUUGGGGAUUUUGGCGUUUGUAAGAUGAAUAGUAUAUAGUAGAAAAUACGGCGUUUCAGGUUCUGGGGGUGUGCUUUUAUGUCUGGGAUGUUUUUGUUUAUAUAGCGAUGUGUUUUGGUCUGUAAUGGCGUUUUAUUCAUCAGUAUGGCGUUUUGGUAUAGAUGUGCAAAGACGCUUUUACCCUUAAUGAGGCACGUCUACGUAAUAAAAUUGAUGUUAUUUACCAAAACGCCACCGCGCCAAUCUAGUCCAUAGAUUGUUUUAAUCGGACGAUCCAUAAGCGUUCUCACCGUUCUCACACUUUCUACCGUUUUCUCUAAAUCCCGGCCCUAUAUAUAUGUAUAUGUAUAGAGAGAGAGAGAGACGGGUUCAUGAGAAAACACACUAAAGUGUGAGAACGCCUACUGAUGGAACAGGUGGCGCGGGAUAUAAUCAGGGUGGGAGGGCUUUUUUGUCUUUUUAAUUUUCUUUUUUCCCAAUUUCGUGUGUCACAAUGUUGCUUCAUUUUUUUGCAUAUAAGAUUAUUUUGGUGUUAAUAGAUUCAACAACUACCUGGCGUUUUACUAUUUUUCGGAUCUGUCUCGUUGAAUUAAUUGUUUUUGUGUCACAUAGAUAAUUUUUUGGCGUUAUGGCGUUCCCAUUUGAAUUAAUCCCAUAUAUGUUAUAGAGGUAUUUUGGCGUUCGUGGCGUUGUCCUUCAUUACCAUUCAUUAGUAUUUCAUAAGAUUACAAUAAGACAAAAUCAAAACAAACUAAUAGUCUUAUGUGUAUGGGAUUACAUCAGAGAUGUACCCAUCGCUUUUGAUGUACGUUAGGUGUAAUAUGUAUUAGGUAUAUAUUUUAAGCCAUUUUUACACUUUUUAGCCAAGUUUUAAAUUUAUAAAACACGAUAUUUACUAACACUAAACACACAUAUAGGCAAGUGCACCCAUCGUGGACGUAGUAUAGUGUUGAUAUGAUACCGAGGUCGUCCAAGGACACAAGAAUUUUUAGUACCGGUUUAUCCUCAACGUCUAAUCAAAUCAAAAUGUUAGAAAAAAGGUUUUAAACUAAGAAAAUAAAACUAACUAAAAUGCUGAAAAAUAAAAUAGAAAUAAAAACAGAUAGACAAGAUGAAUCACUUGGAUUCGACUCGUGUGUAGUGUAACCUUUGAUUAUUUUCGCACUUUUGCACUUGUUUAAGAGAUUAUCUUAGUUAUUGUAGUAGGCCCUUCUUUUGAAGGCGACGUUACCCACAACCCAGUAGUUUGAGUCAACAAGGAUACAAUCCUAAAGGGUCGGAUUAUUGAAAGAUAAUUAAUUAAGUUAUUAAUGCAUAAUGUGGUAGGCCCCUCUUUUGAAGGUGACGUUACCCUCAGUUAAGUAAUCUGAGUCAGCAGGGAUACAGUCCUAAGUAGCCAGGUUAAAGUUUUAAUAGUAGUUUAACUUAUGAGAGGAUCAAAGAGUUUGGACCCCCGCCAUCCAAUACCUUUGGGUAUUGAAGGAGGUCCUACUAAAUUUGACCCAGGUCCUUUGCAGGAUCUAUACACUGAACAAUGGUAAGUCUCUUACCAAACCGUUCCCUUAACCCCCGACCAGGUAGCCAACAUACCUCCAUAUAGACCGUGGAGAUAUGAAUGGUGAAAAUCUUUUAUUUUAUAUAGACAGUAAAAUAAUGCCAAGACACCACGGACAAAAAGGAAGAAUCACCUUCAACAUAAGAAACUAGUAAUUAAAGUCAUUAAUACAAAAC